CUCCCCUGACCCAUCCAGGGACUGAGAGAGAGCGGUGUAUUCCUGCCUUGUCGUCCCACAGACCACCAGACUUCCCACAAAGAGCCCUCACGGGACUGCCUCAAGGGUUGCCUGACACCAGCCAGCCUUGAACUUGGUCCUGCUCCCGCCACAACAGGGACCUGGGGGCUCAGCCCAGCGUGUGCACUGUGGACCACAGCCUGCCUGACAGCCAAGGCUUCGUUCCAGGCAUCACCCGAAUCCGCGGGGCGGAGAUUCCUCCAACAAUCUCCCCGCCUAGGCCAGGAUCCCACCCGGGGACCGCGUGUUUUCGCUCCUUUCUUGCUCCUGGAGCCGGCUCCUCGCGGGACCCGCCAUGCUUUCAAGCCCAGAGGUUACGGGCAGUGAAAUACCAGGGUUUAUUGCUGUGAGUUUGGAACAUGAAUUUUUUGAGCAAUGCCGUCUGGGGUUCUGAUCUGUGUCUGGCUGUGUGACCUUGACCAGGUGUCUGCACCUCUCUGAGCUCCUGAUUGCUCAUCUGUGAAGUGGGCUAAUGAUCUCAACACUCAGGUUCCUUUGGAGGACUGAAUGUGAGACUGUUAGGGGAACUACUGUGG
rnacentral:lncRNA from 1 species